ACCAACACUGCUGGAGAAGGAAACCGCGGGGGUGAUUAAAAGUGUUUCAGUCGACCAAAUUGCAAGGGGAUUUAGAUCGGGCUCUGUCUGGGUCAUUCCAAAACACGGAUCGUCAUCUGAAGCGGGUCCCUUUUUCUUGGAUUUGUUCUUCGGGUCGUCAUCGUGCUGGAAGGUAAAACUUUUCCUUCGUCUUAACUGUGUAACCGAGAUAGAUUGGUAUUUAUCGGAAAAUACUGCUGUGAAUGAAGCAAACAACACACAAGUCUGCUUACUGAGUGGAAAAACCCGCCUCCUGACCCACGUGAACAUGAUCUAGG